rnacentral:snoRNA from 14 species
UUGCAUCAGUUAACUCCAUAAACAACUGCCAGGCAGCCUGUGCCUUCGGAAGACAAAAGCUCUUCCAUAACAUGCUACAGUGAUGAAGGAGUUCUCAGGGCUACCAACCUUACAGAAGAGGUUGAGUAGUAGUAUAUUUCUCCUACAUUG